AGCAGUCGCCGCGGUAAUACGUAGGUGGCAAGCGUUGUCCGGAAUUAUUGGGCGUAAAGGGCUCGCAGGCGGUUUCUUAAGUCUGAUGUGAAAGCCCCCGGCUCAACCGGGGAGGGUCAUUGGAAACUGGGAAACUUGAGUGCAGAAGAGGAGAGUGGAAUUCCACGUGUAGCGGUGAAGUGCGUAGAGAUGUGGAGGAACACCAGUGGCGAAGGCGACUCUCUGGUCUGUAACCGACGCUGAGGAGCGAAAGCGUGGGGAGCGAACAGGAUUAGAGACCCCAGUAGUCCCUGUCUCUUAUAC
rnacentral:rRNA from 1 species